rnacentral:rRNA from 1 species
AUUGAACGCUGGCGGCAUGCCUUACACAUGCAAGUCGAACGGCAGCACGGGUGCUUGCACCUGGUGGCGAGUGGCGAACGGGUGAGUAAUACAUCGGAACGUACCUUAUCGUGGGGGAUAACGCAGCGAAAGCUGUGCUAAUACCGCAUACGCCCUGAGGGGGAAAGCGGGGGAUCGCAAGACCUCGCGCGAUUAGAGCGGCCGAUGCCUGGUUAGCUUGUUGGGGGGGUAAAAGCCCACCAAGGCGACGAUCAGUAGCUGGUCUGAGAGGACGAUCAGCCACACUGGGACUGAGACACGGCCCAGACUCCUACGGGAGGCAGCAGUGGGGAAUUUUGGACAAUGGGGGCAACCCUGAUCCAGCAAUGCCGCGUGAGUGAAGAGGGCCUUCGGGUUGUAAAGCUCUUUUGUCAGGGAAGAAACACCGGCUCUAACACAGUCCGGGAAUGACGGUACCUGAAGAAUAAGCACCGGUUAACUACGUGCCAGCCGCCGCCGUAA